UAUGCCUGCUCGACCGCCGCCGCCGCAGCCGCUCGUGCCGCCUCCCACUCCCUCGCCUCGAUCUCAUUCUCUACUUGCUCCUCCGUGGAAGUAGCGCCGCUGGCGGAGCAUGGUGCGAGCGCGCGGGAGAGGCGCUGCCGGUGGAGCGUUGUAGCUCCUCCUCUCCACACUCUUCUCCGCGCGCGCCCGCCGUCGCAUCUCACUCCGUCCCCUGCUCGUCUUCGUCUUGUUGAGCGGCUGGUCGAGCUCCAUCUCUUCGACCCUGGCCAAGCCCGAGCAACGGCAACACAUCGCCAAGGCAUCCUCCUUCGUCACGUUGCUGCCAUCGCCGUCGUGUUCUUCGGCCCAGACGCCGCAAGGAGGGCUCCUCAGUGCCAGCAAAUUAGGGGAGGUUGCCCUGCUUAGGAGGGGAUUAACCUUGUGGAGCGCAUCGACCUCGUCAGAGCGAUAGACAUACAGGUGGUUCUCUCCACGAUGCAUGCAAGGUGUUUGAUGAAAAUACAAGCAGACCAUAGGUGAAAUUAAUUAGUUUUUUUUCUUGAAUUUAGCGUCAAUAAGGAUGACUCCCAUCUGUGCAACUUGCAUGUUUGAUAUAUGACUUUCAUGUGCAAGCUACCACUAAUGAUAUGUAUGAGUAAAUUUCGAAGAAAAUAAUAUGUGCUUGACUGUUUGAGACACCCAUCAAAUAAUAUAUCUCUCCCUCGAAGCCCAUGUACAGCUUUCUCAGCUGUUUGAGAAGUACUAGAUAAUUUCAGUGUCUUUUUUGCUGAUCAAGAACAGGGUUGUUGUGUUGAUCAAGAGCAAGAGCAGGGUCCUUUAGGAUGCCAACAAAUUAUCUCUAGGCAACUUAUUACGAUGCAUCUGAUUUGCAUUCUUUGCCUAUAUCGUCUCUGUCAACAGCUCGAGCAUGGACGGCAAGACUUAAGGACGUGGUCUACACAUUAAUGCUUUGUCAAUUAUACGCGUGGAUGAGGUUUCCGACAACGAAACUGGUUGGGCAGAACACAUUGUUGUCGGCUCUUGGUGCGUGGAGUCCACUCUUCAGGUACCAAUGUUGCAGUAGGUAGGAUCACAAGCUAGGAUGAAGGAGCUAUGCAGAUAUCCAAUCAUAACAAGUACAUUUUUCCUGCACUGCAUGAUCAGUUGUCAAUUCCUACUUCUCUUAAAAGAUAUUACUUUGUUGGUCUUCAAAGCUAUAGGUGUGUAUUAUGAAAAUUGUUAAUGUGGCGUGAACCAGAAACCGCUAUGAAUUUCAAGCCUUUUCAUUAAUCUUCUUGACUUUUUGUUAAAACGGAAGUGAACUUGGUCCUAAACAUGCACUGGCUAUGAUACUAUCUCUUUUGUGUCAUGGAGAACUGGAAACCGCUAUGAAUUUCAAGCCUUUUCAUCAAUCUUCUUGACUUUUUGUUGAAACAGAAGUGAACUUGGUCCUAAACUUGGACCGGCUAUGGUAGUAUCUCUUUUGUGUGAUGGAGAACUGGAAACUGCUAUGAAUUUCAAGCCUUUUCAUCAAUCUUCUUGACAUUUUAUUGAAACCGAAGUCAACUUGGUCCUAAACUUGCAUGGGCUAUAUCAAUAUUUAUAUUUGAAUGUCUGCACCUUUUGACUAACUAAAAUAUUAUUUUGAUACUUUAUUUGUAUGUGCCCUCUAAAGCCAUCGAAUUUAAGUGUUUCGUAGAUCCUUUUCCGUCAAAUAUAUAUAUGGCCCAACGAGUCGAGCUUUGGUGUGUCUCGGUUGGACAACAUGGGCCUGUGAGGGAUCUGUGCUAACAUCCGGUCUGAAGUUUUUCAAGAAUUAUUAUUCCUAUGUGGUACCUUACACCUGGACAUAAAGUACCCUCAGGUUAUUUUUAUCCCCUUCUCUUCACGCCCUUGGCAAUGCCCACUUCAGUUGUGUAGAGUGGUGUUCUUUUAUUUCUGUAUAGUUUUCUACUGAGUUGCUUGAGCAACAGUUGCGUUCAUUUCCUUCUACAUGAUUAAUAACACUUGAUUUGUGAUAUUCCUGAGGGAAAGGUGUUAUAUUCUUCAUCCGCUACAAAACUGUUUUUUGUUGCUUGGGUCCAAGCUUAUGUGUCUGAUGGCCAGAUCGUAUGAUCUGAAGGUACUACACUCUUCAGUAAUUUUUUAACAUAGUUGGAGAUGAAGUUGAAAUGAUAUGCAUAUUGUCAUCCUACUGCCAAAUGAGUAGCUUUGAAUACGUUGACCCAAGAUGGUGCUCACAGAUGCGGUAUUGCACUGGUCAAUGGUGACAUUCCAGUUAAUGUAAAGAUCAACAACGUCUAGCGCCUACCAGCCGGUAACCUCUUGCCCUAGGUUCAAGGACAACCUACGGCUUGUCUGAUCGCAUCUCUGGAUAUGAACCACAUCUUCAAGGCAAAUGGUUUAGAGGUUAGGAAGUUUAAUGAUUGAAACUAUAGAUUAAUAGCUCAAAAUGCAAAGCCCCAUUCAGUUUGAGCGAAUAAAUAGUCUCUCAUGUAAAAAAUAUUGCUCUGGCAUGCUACAAUAUAGUAUAAUUUUAUUCAGGAUAUUCUGGAGAUGCAAUUUUAGAAAAUAGUUAAUUUCUCGUUUUUUUGUUCAUGGUGUUUCAUGAUUAGGAUGAGGUCAGUAGACAUGUGGAUUCCCAUGUGUUGUUGUCAAGAGGUAGUCAGCAUCAUUUACAGCUUGCAGUGUAUCUCCCAACUCGGAUAUAGCAUCCUGUGAGGUCAAGAUUUACUCAAAUGGUUUUACUUGGAGUUGGAGGAGGCAUUACUUCUAAGCAUCAUGUAAUCCAUCGCCCUUCGCCAUUUUAUAUUCCAUAAAGGUCACUGCUCAUGUGCCCACUGCCCACAAGUGCUGGUGAUGUUAAAAAGGUGGUCUAAAUAAAUGGAAAUCUUCCAUUUGGUUGGGCAGUGAGGUUGAGGUUAUACAGUGAGUAAAUGUAAGAAGCAUCGGCAAUAUUGCAGGUUAUUAAUUAAAAGUCCUACUAAAAUUCCUAACAACUAAAGAAAGCAGGCCUGCUUACCUUUAGCUGUACUAGCAAGUAUAAAUGCCAUGCACUUUCAGUUUGUGUAGAUCUAAUCCAUCUUCAGAGGCUUUUCCAUUUAUAAAAAAAGUUUCUCCUUAGAAAAAUUAGAGAAGGAAAAGAAAGGGGCACGUUCAACCGUGAUAAUGAUUGCUUACUGCUUGAUUCGUGUACAAAGGUCCGUGAUUCUAAGCUGAGCACACUACUCAGCAACUCAAGACAAAGGGUUUAUUGCUUUAUGCAUCCUGUAUAUUAUGAAGUUAAGAUUAUGUGCGUUGACAGAUAAUCGUGUCUCUGCCUUUUUCUUUUCAGGUGCUACAGUUGUAAUAUUAGUUUCAAAGAUCCACUUCAGUCCUGUUGUUAUCUUCAGCUACAGCCAUCAAAGGAAAGCUCUUGGCUUGCAUCGAACAGUGAUCUGUGAAACAUCAUAAAGAAAAAUUGGUUUCUGAAACGUUUGUCCUGCUUAAUCCCUGGUGCUAUGCAUUACUAAUGGGGCUUAUUUCAGGAUCUUAUCUAGUUUUACAAACUACUCAAACUGUAGUCAUGUUUUCCUAUGCCAUUUUCAUCUGGUGCAUAAAUGUUAUUGCCUAAAUAAAAUUCAUGGGCCUCUCAGUUUAGCAUGCGCUCACUCUAAUUAAGCAUGUUUAAGUAGUAUUAACCUUUCUGUCACUUAUUUGUAUGUUCUUAUAUUUUUAGUGCCAUCUCUGCAGUUUUGCGUAUGUGGAAAAAAAAGCAUAGACAUGCUGAAAAGCUGGUCUUAGAUAUCAAAAUUUAGUAACAUUGCUAUUAAAUAUUCUUGCAGAGUUGCUCAUUUUCUUGGUAUUUUUAGAAUAUGCUCAUAUGUAGUUACCAUACAUUAUGAUUCUUUUUUUUUUUGCAUGAUACGGGAAGUACAUACAGUGUUAAAAUGUCAUGUCCCGUUCUUUGCAGUUCUAUAAAUGGCUGUUCUUUUUCGGUGCUGGAGUGUUGGACAUUACUAAUGGUUGCCAUACUCUUAGUGAUGUUGUGUACAUUAGCAACUACUGUAGGUUGUUGAGAAGGAAAGGGAUGAUCAACUUGCAUUGAAAUUGAAGAAUAAGUUGAACAUUUCUGUCGAAGGAAACAACAAGGAAUCUAUCUAAUUUGCUGAGGUUAGGCGCAUAGACUUUCUAAUGAAGGUCCCCAUCCAUGCCAAUCAUUUCACCAGUCUCUGAAGUACUUAAUUUUUUCAGCUGCUUACUGUUUUGAGUAUGUUUUCUUAGAAAAUAGUGUCUACUUCUGUAUGUCUUCUGUACUAUUACUCCAUUCCACUCUAGAGCUGUUUUACACUUUUGUCCUUUCUUAUAUCAAUUAAACUUGGAGACUCCAAAGAAGCCGUGGCGGUGCAGGGGGUUGGGGAGGUGGUUCCGGUGGCGGAUGAAUCUUUGGUGGGCUGAUCAGUACGCUAGCGGAGUGUUUGUACAUGAAUAUGGGUGUAUAGAUGCCCCUAAAUCACAGCGGAGUACAUACAAAUAAUAUGUGAUACUGGUGGUGCUUGCCUUAGAAAUAGAUGGCAACAUGCUACGGUCUUCUAUUUUGUAAAGAACUCAUAUUUGAUUUGAUAUGACUACGAAUAUUGUAGUGUUACUUUUGUUUGGUUGUGCGGCUAUUGGCCGUGUGUAGCCAGCUUUUUUGUAGGCUCAUACCUAGGCUAGGAGACUGACAUUUGUAAAUUCUGGGCCUGGUGGCAUUAUCUAAUUAUUCGUAUGAAUGUUUUAGACGUCUGAAUGCUAUGGUUCCUUUUGUUCUUGAAAUACCAAAAAACUAUCCAACGGAAACCAUAUCCUUCAUUUAGGAUCACCUGGUCUCCUUUAUAUUGGGAAGUAGAACCCAGCAGUUUCAGUAUAUCUCCAUAUAUUCUAUACAUGUGAUUACCAGGUAGCUAAUUAUCUCACAACUUUUGUUUACUAAGUUUACGUUUUUAUAGUUAACAGCUUUUUCAUGUGAGUUGUCGUUGAGCCGCAUAUACUUGAAAAAAAUCUACAACUGAGGUACAUUGUCCAAUUUUUUUGUACUCUGUAUUAAACAUGAAUUGAUCUUCAACUCGUAACAUUUAUUUCAGCUGUCUCACUUUUCAGUGCCAAUUAGUUUAUCUUCUCAUUUACAGCGGUGUUUUCUUUUAGUGGUGUGAACAUCUAUUAUGGCCACGUUUCCUUUGUGUCGUAGCCUUUGAAGACCAUGUUGCCACAUUGUCCAUAGGCAGAUUAUGUAAAUGUUGUCUCUCCCUACUUCUAUUACUCUUCAUAGAACAUUCCCGUAUUUCCCUGAUUGUAUAUAAGCUUUUGUUGCUCUCUGUCCACUAUUGUCACUCUCUUGUUGUGCUGGUGGUGUGAGUGUAGUGAUGUCAGAGAAGGCAAACCGGGAAGAUCAAGUGAGGAUCUUGCAUGGACAGUCCAAUACCAACACAAGGAGUCCUGGAUGCUUUGCAAGGAGGAGAACAAAAGUGCAGUGGCUGUGACAAAGAAAUAGCAGCCGCCUGUAGAGGAAUAGAUCAAAAUCAACGUCUAUGGUUGCUUGGGGGCAGUACUGCAAGUUAUCACCGAACGAAUCAAAGUUUUCAUUAGAUCUAUUUUUUGUGACUUUAAGAUCGACCUCUCUUCUGUGGGAGUUAGCAUUGAAUGAAGCAAAGUUUUCAUUAGAUAUAAUUUUUGUGACUUUAUGAUUCUGUAGUGCCCCAGAACUUGUAAUCGGGUAGCUCAUGAGCUGACAGCAAAAGGUGCACAAAUGGCUGGAGAGCCUGACUUUCUGUCC